rnacentral:rRNA from 1 species
UGGGGAAUAUUGCACAAUGGGCGAAAGCCUGAUGCAGCGACGCCGCGUGCGGGAUGAAGGCCUUCGGGUUGUAAACCGCUUUUGAUUGGGAGCAAGCGAGAGUGAGUGUACCUUUCGAAUAAGCACCGGCUAACUACGUGCCAGCAGCCGCGGUAAUACGUAGGGUGCAAGCGUUAUCCGGAAUUAUUGGGCGUAAAGAGCUCGUAGGCGGUUUGUCGCGUCUGGUGUGAAAGUCCAUCGCUUAACGGUGGAUCUGCGCCGGGUACGGGCAGGCUAGAGUGCGACAGGGGAGACUGGAAUUCCCGGUGUAACGGUGGAAUGUGUAGAUAUCGGGAAGAACACCAAUGGCGAAGGCAGGUCUCUGGGUCGUCACUGACGCUGAGGAGCGAAAGCGUGGGGAGCGAACAGGAUUAGAUACCCUGGUAGUCCACGCCGUAAACGGUGGAUGCUGGAUGUGGGGCCCAUUCCACGGGUUCCGUGUCG